UACGGAGGGUGCAAGCGUUAUCCGGAUUCACUGGGUUUAAAGGGAGCGUAGGAGGGCAGGUAAGUCAGUGGUGAAAUCUUCGAGCUUAACUCGGAAACUGCCGUUGAUACUAUCUGUCUUGAAUACCGUGGAGAUGAGCGGAAUAUGUCAUGUAGCGGUGAAAUGCUUAGAUAUGACAUAGAACACCAAUUGCGAAGGCAGCUCGUUACAACGAAUAUUGACUCUGAGGCUGAACGCGUGGGAGGC
rnacentral:rRNA from 1 species